AUUCGAUCCCCGCAUAGACGUCCUCGGUGUUCUCGCGGAAGACGACGAUGUCGACCUUGUCCGGCUCCUUGACCGGAGAGGGUGUCCCCUUGUACCAGCGGCACGGACGGAUGCAGCAGUACAGGUCGAGCUCCUGGCGCAGCGUUACGUUCAGCGAUCGGAUGCCCCCACCGACCGACGUGGUCAACGGGCCCUUGAUCGCGACCCGCCAGUCCCCGAUCGCCCU
rnacentral:misc_RNA from 1 species